rnacentral:rRNA from 1 species
AACGAACGCUGGCGGCAGGCUUAACACAUGCAAGUCGAACGCGUGUAGCAAUACACGAGUGGCGCACGGGUGAGUAACGCGUGGAUAUCUGCCUUUUGGUUCGGAAUAACCCCGGGAAACUGGGGCUAAUACCGGAUGGUUCCUUCGGGAUAAAGAUUUAUCGCCAAAAGAUGAGUCCGCGUACGAUUAGCUAGUUGGUGAGGUAAUGGCUCACCAAGGCGACGAUCGUUAGCUGGUCGAGAGGACGAUCAGCCACACUGGGACUGAGACACGGCCCAGACUCCUACGGGAGGCAGCAGUGGGGAAUAUUGGACAAUGGGGGCAACCCUGAUCCAGCCAUGCCGCGUGAGUGAUGAAGGCCUUC